rnacentral:tRNA from 1 species
GGGAGUGUAGCGUAGCCCGGCAGCGCAACUGGCUCCAGACCAGUAGGUCGGGGGUUCAAAUCCCUCUGCUCCCA